GGUGUGAAAGGCAUGAGGACACUGGAGCCCCUCUCAAACCUAUCCUCUCUUGUCAGACUAGAAUUGUUGCAUUGCGGACAGGAUCUAAAAUGUCAGGGCUUGUGGUCUCUCCUUACCACCGGGGGCCAGCUCAACAAAUUAGAGGUCAAGGACAGCCCUAGAUUCUUUGUUGAUUGGGAUCCCAAUCCCAGACGGGCUUUGGAGGAUGCUGAGGGAGGUGAAGAGCAGCAGACACAGCUUGUUUCAUCCACACUGCGUGAGCUCGAGAUAGAGGUCAUGUCAGGGCUUCUUGCUGCACCCGUCUGCAGAUUCCUCUCUUCCUCCCUCACCAAGCUGCGACUUUGGGAGCUUUCGCGUGAAGGGAUGAAGCGGUUCACCAAGGAGCAAGAGGACGCCCUUCAACUCCUCUCCUCCCUCCAAACACUAGAGUUUUUGCAUUUCGAGGACCUUCAACAACUCCCUGCAGUGCUGCGUAACCUUACCAGCCUCAAGAUAUUAUCAGUCAGCUUAUGUACAGCCAUCUCGUCGUUGCCCAACGAUGCCCUCCCUGAUUCACUCGAAAUGCUAGAUGUCUAUGACUGCAGCGAGGAGCUAAAAGAGACGUGCAGGGGGUUAGUGGGAACCAUCCCCAAAAUCAUAAUAGACAGAGAAACAUACUGAUCCAAGGACAAUGCCUUGGAGUUCCCUUGUACAUUCUUCUACCCUUGUAGAGGUCUUCCCUUCCCAUUCAAACACAUGCAUGACACACGGGCCUUUUGGCUGCGGUCUUCCUUCCUGUACGUAAAUCUGGUGUUUGUUCGAUCUUAUUGGCUUCUUCAUAUUUUGCAUUUAAAUUUGGAUUAUUGUUAUUCAUCAAGACGUGGCAGUCUACUCCCCUAUUUUGGGUGUCACGAUCAAAAUAGCAGUAGGACAUCAAGCUACUGAUAUUAAGGUGUUCUUAUGUUUGUUUGGUGGGCUUUCAAGCCACUUGUGUUUGCAUUUUGUC